rnacentral:pre_miRNA from 1 species
AAUAGUUUUAUGCCACAUCAGUACUCUUAUCCUGAAUUUCAGGAUUUUAUCCUGAAAAAAAUCAAAUCCAAAUUAAAAUACUAAAAUUCAGGAUAAAAAUACUGAUGUGGCAUAAAACUAUU